GACUGGACACAGCAUUUUUGAUUUCACCCAUCCAUGUGAUCACGAAGAAAUUCGAGAAAACUUGAGCCUGAAAAAUGGUCCAGGCUUUGGGAAAAAAAAUAAAGAGAUGUCCAUGGAACGUGACUUCUUUAUGAGAAUGAAAUGCACGGUUACCAACAGAGGUAGAACAGUCAAUCUGAAAUCUGCCACAUGGAAGGUUUUGCACUGCACUGGGCAAAUGAAGGUCUAUAAUACAUGCCCUCCACAUGCCCUGUGUGGCUAUAAGGAGCCUCUCUUAUCCUGCCUCAUAUUAAUGUGUGAGCCUAUUCAGCACCCUUCCAACACUGAUAUUCCACUGGAUAGCAAGACAUUCCUGAGCCGUCAUAGCAUGGACAUGAA